AUUUCAUUAAAAAACUCUUUCAAGUAGGUUUUCCCUUUUCCGAAAUUGCUAAAGUUUUUACUUCUUAAUGAACCAUUUAAUUUACUGAAAAGGUCUUUCGAUAGCAAGAGAUCUUGUGAAUAGGGUAGAUGAGGUAAAAGUUCGAAUCCAAGCUCUAUUAAUUUUCUAUUUAUUAUUUCUGGAACAUUUCUUGUGAAAUUGUUAUCUUGAACUGAAAUUUGUUUGCUUUAAAUUUUGGUCUUGACGGUCUUGCGUAGUUUUUGUUGAACUUUUGCAGUAAUUAAGAAUACACUAUCACACCAUGAUUAUUCAUCACAAACAAUAAGUCUGUAAACAAACGAUAAUUUAUAAGUUUGGUUUGUACAUUUAUACUUGUAAUUAUUAAAUGAGUAAAUUAAACUUACAAUUAUAGAAAACUACUAAGUGCUCUCGAUAAUUUUACUGUUUCUAUUUUCUCUUAAUAUAUGCACUUUGUUAUCAACAAAACAAUUAAAUAUAAAUAUCACAAUAAAAACUAUAAGUAUUUCAAACUUAAACUGACUACAGCAGUUAUUUACCAUUCUGAAGAUAAACACGGCUGCGCGUUGCAUCGGAAGCGGUCCCCCAAAAUUUUCAGCCAAUAGCAACUCCAGCAUUAUUAAAGCACUGAUGAGUACUCCCAUCUCGUGCGUGUGUGAGCACGCCUCGCACAUAACGAUGUCACACGCACACACGAAAUGUUACGUAUCGGUGUGUCGGGAAAUCGAAAGAAGCCGAGGGAAGCCGAGUUUUACACAUUGUUCAAAUGUGUAUUGUGUUCAUGUAUUUCUCCGCGACGCGUGGUGGGGGUAUUAUUUCUCCUCUGUCGUGCAGCUAUCUCGGCUUCCCUCGGCUUCUUUCGGUUUUCCGACAAACCGACAAGUAAAUUUUGUUGUGCGCGAGGCGUGCUGGGCUCAAGAAAAGGGGUAGAAAUGUUCCGCGAUCUGGCUUCAGUGGUGCCGACUCGUGCUCAGUCUUUAAAUGUUCUUAGAUCGUCGGCUGUUAAUGUGUUAAGUAAAAAUCAUUUAUGCAUACCUGAAAUUAUCAACAAAUGCUGAACUGUGAAUACGGAAUGUAACAAGAUGCUGAUAUUUCCUAUAUUUAUCGAGUCUCUGGGAUCACUGCUCC